rnacentral:rRNA from 1 species
AGAGUUUGAUCCUGGCUCAGAUUGAACGCUGGCGGAAUGCUUUACACAUGCAAGUCGGGCGGCAGCGCGGGGGCAACCCUGGCGGCGAGCGGCGAACGGGUGAGUAAUACAUCGGAACGUGUCCUUGGGUGGGGGAUAGCUCGGCGAAAGCCGGAUUAAUACCGCAUAAGCUCUGAGGAGGAAAGCGGGGGACUGGUAACGGCCUCGCGCUGCUGGAGCGGCCGAUGUCGGAUUAGCUAGUUGGUGGGGUAAAGGCUCACCAAGGCGACGAUCCGUAGCUGGUCUGAGAGGAUGAUCAGCCACACUGGAACUGAGACACGGUCCAGACUCCUACGGGAGGCAGCAGUGGGGAAUUUUGGACAAUGGGCGAAAGCCUGAUCCAGCCAUUCCGCGUGAGUGAAGAAGGCCUUCGGGUUGUAAAGCUCUUUCGGACGGAACGAAAUGGUCAGCUCUAACAGGGCUGACUGAUGACGGUACCGUAAGAAGAGC